rnacentral:rRNA from 1 species
GACGAACGCUGGCGGCGUGCUUAACACAUGCAAGUCGAACGGAAAGGCCCUGCUUUUGUGGGGUGCUCGAGUGGCGAACGGGUGAGUAACACGUGAGUAACCUGCCCUUGACUUUGGGAUAACUUCAGGAAACUGGGGCUAAUACCGGAUAGGAGCUCCUGCUGCAUGGUGGGGGUUGGAAAGUCUCGGCGGUUGGGGAUGGACUCGCGGCUUAUCAGCUUGUUGGUGGGGUAGUGGCUUACCAAGGCUUUGACGGGUAGCCGGCCUGAGAGGGUGACCGGCCACAUUGGGACUGAGAUACGGCCCAGACUCCUACGGGAGGCAGCAGUGGGGAAUAUUGCACAAUGGGCGGAAGCCUGAUGCAGCAACGCCGCGUGCGGGAUGACGGCCUUCGGGUUGUAAACCGCUUUCGCCUGUGACGAAGCGUGAGGGACGGUAAUGGGUAAAGAAGCACCGGCUAACUACGU